CGAACGGGCUGCGUCUAGCAACUGGCUGCUUUGCAACUAGCAGCUGAAGCUGAGAGCUACGGGAAAGCGCCGACAGCAGCUGGUUGCGCCGGUUUCAACGCUGCUGAUGUGCAAUUUCGCGAAGCUGAGUACCACUGGACGAGGUACUCGUGCGCGAUUGGUGAGUGACUUGUGCGAUUUCACUUGCAUCGUCCAUCCGAGUUGGGCUUCUUCGGAUAAACCACGGGCUCGAACUCGAUGCAGUUGCGCGUUUUAUUGCGCUUGAAUUACUUUGCAAGUGUCCGGACUGCAGCAUCGCAAUGUCCUCUUUGAGGGUUGUGAGACGGCGCAGCUGUGGAGUCUCACAGCGUCCAUGUGGGACGUCGAGGGCGUCGCGGGCGUCUCUUAGGACGCAGUGAUGUCCACUGCCCGUCGACUAGUCUUAAGUCUCAGAGGUCGCAAGCAAUCACAGGACAGUACAUCGGGUCGCCUUGUAGGCGCCCCAGGGCAUUUAGGAGCACCAGGAGCAGCAGGAGGAGGCGAUUGCCACGAACUGGAGGAAAUUGCAGUGGUUUCCAGUAGUGCAGAUCCUCUGCAUCUCAAGUACGGCAGCGAACUAGCGGGAAAUCCACUCAACGCUUGUAAUGGCCCGA
rnacentral:lncRNA from 1 species